AGCAGCGUGGCUCAGUGGAAAGAGCCUGGGCUUGGGAUCAAAGGUCAUGGGUUCAAAUCCCGGCUCUGCCA
rnacentral:tRNA from 1 species